GUACACCAGUCGCGGAGGAAUUAAGUUUUAGUAUUAGUGACAAAUAUACACAUGUAAAAAACAAGAUUAACAAAUGUUUUGACAGCUCGUAAUGAUGACAAAGCCUCCACCUGAAGAAGGGGGUAUUAUUAUGGUGACUGGCCUCCCUCUAGUGGUACCAUAUGAGCAGUACAGGGUUUACAAGCAUCUACGCUCAUUUCUAAUGAAAUUAAAUAUUCCCACAGGACAAGAAAAAGUAAAGUCUUAUGUCUUUAUUUGAAAGCUUAAUUGUACAGGGACACUGUAAUUGAAUUUGAAAAGCAAAGCCUUAUGGGAACUGUAGUUAUUGAAUGAUAACAAGAAAAAUCUUGUUUUUCUUUGUUAAAAUGAUGAGGUACUCAAAUUUUACAAUCUAGAACAAUAGUAGAUACUAAUUUAGCUACGAACAUGGACAAAACCCCAGGCAUAUUUUCAGUUUUUCAGAAAAAUGGAUGAAAGAAACCAUCUGUGAGAAAACCCUUUGAGGGGCCAGAUAAACUGUGAGUGAGGAAUAUGUGAUGCGCCAUCUUGGAUUUUGGAUUCAACGGACGUUGCACUUCUGUUCAGCAAGUCGGGAUAUUGUUAUUUUGUAAACGUCUGAAAUCGAUGUGAAAUCAAUUGAACUGUUUCUGAGAGGUUCACCUGCCCUGUCACUUGUUUUCAUUUUCAAUAUUUACCCAAUAAGCAACUUUUUAAACACCGAAAUGUCUAAUGGUUGCGUCGCAAGGAAAGCCAUCCAGGAACUGUUAAACAACCUAACGUCCCCCGCCAGAGCUAGAAAAUGAAAUGUCCCCAACAUUUUAACUUAUUUUUUAAAACACGAGGGACAGGGAUGACCUCUGAAGCCCGACCGCCAGCACUUGUUUGGGAGCUAACGUUUGCUCGGUGGCAGAUAUGUUAGCUUAGCCGCCACCGGAAGAAGCAGGCGUUUCCUCGGCGACGCUGGUGGACGUUAAAUGAGAGGGAGCUCGGCGGGCGGACAAGAAGCCGAGGAGCAUGGGCAGCAGCAGCGCCAUGCUAACAGAAAUGGCGGGAUGGAAGCUACAGUGAAAACAACUCAUCAUUUUCAGCCCGGCUAUCAACACAGUUAUUCUUCAGAUCCAGAAUUAUGGGAAGCAGCCAAUUUACCAACGACCUGUUGCACUGCCACUUCUGGAACAAACUGCAUCAAAUUAAUGGAUUAUUUAGGCUACUCGCCAUUAGCAGUUGGGAUCACCAACACACCUACAUGGUGUCAUCUCAGCUAAAAGCUGAGGGUUUACAACAAGCAGAACCGCAUCCUGUCACUGGGGAAUAUCAUGACUCUGAACUGGUUGUCUAAUGACCUUGUGGUCCACUUUUAGCACAGUUUGCAUUCAAAAGGUCUUGAAGAAGCUCCUCUUAAGAUGCAGAGUGGCUUCAGAAUUCAAGUGAAUAGUUCCAUGCAUCUUGUGCUCAUGAGCAACCCACGUGUCCCUCUGAUCAGCCCAGGAGCUUGAUAACAUCUACAGGGGGCAGCAGUGCACCUUCAGUCAGUGCUGCCCACACCCAAACUAAAGCUUGGAGCGCUGCUGUGGAACUGAUCCUACCCACUUUAAAUACAAGAGACAUUGCUCACUGUACAGUUAUGUUGCUGUUAAACGUGAUAAAAACAGAACCACACCAGUUAAAGCCAAAAGUGACUUUGCUCUAAGUCAUCAAAUUCACAAAGUGUGACUACCCCAUCUCCACAAAGGAGGAGGUGGUGUGGGAGGAUGGACUCACCACAGCAGUUUGGGUCUUAGCAUAGUUCAUAUGGGCAUACAGCAGCACAGCUGUGUCGUUGUGAGACGCCUCCAGUGCGAUGGACAAAGCAUUGCUGCCAUCCUACAGACAGAGGAGAGAGGGAGGAACAGAUACAGUAGGAGGAGGGCAGAGAAACCGUUUCAACACGCUUUCUCCUACAAGACUAUUCCUCUGUCUGGAUGUGAUGGAUGUUGGGAUCCUUGAUUGGCCAGUAAACAACCAGGACAUUCAUCCGUCCUGCAUCCUCAGUAUUUGUUUUUGAAAUUCUACAAAUACAACAUAAAUUUACAGUAGGAAAGCUCCUGUGGUUUUAAACCCUAUAAAACCUAUAGUAAGGAGUAAUAUAGGUCUCGUGUAAUGUUGGAAAACCAGAAAUUGAAUCUUAUUUUACAGCUUAUCAUUCUGCAAUCAGUGUAAGUUACUCUGGUUGAUAGUAGAGGUGUAAAGGUACACAAAAUCCACAGUUUGGUACGUGACUGUUUAGAGUCACGGUUCAGUCCAUUUUCAGUACAGUGGAGAAAAUGAAGUAAAACGCAUAGAUCAACAUUUUUAUUUCUCCACUUACUGUCCCGCUCAGUAAAUAUCUUAGUCACGAGGUUAAAAAAAUAAAUAAAUAAAUAAAAAAACGCUUGUUCACGUUAUGUGAUAUUGGUCGAUAUUUUUAAAAACUCUCAUUGAUAUCGAGAGUGACUGCCGGGAGAAUAAUUCCUCGAUGACUGCAGCUUGUGGUUAUUUGCAGAGCAUGCACAACGGACUGAAUUGCACACGGGAACGAACAUUAUAGCAGGACUUAAGCCCUGUAAUAGACGCAUUCGUUGAAGCCAUUGGGAAUGGUUCAGCAGGUUUGGCGCUUAGUUUUUGUCCGUUCCACUCUUUGCCCAGUGUAGCUAUAACUUAACCGUAACGCUUCCAAACGAUAGAGCUAAAUGAGAUUUAUCCAGUUUCUCUUUAGUGUUCGCCGUAUGAGCUAUACAUCCAGGGGCUAACCCGACUAGCAUUGUCUAGCUAACAAGCAACAACUGUUCUACUGCCAAAGCUGGUAGAGCUCUCACACUUUGGCGUUUAUGUUCCACACGUGGUAAACUGUAGAACUAAUUAGACAGUAUUAAGAUAAUUUAACAUAAAUUAUUUCAUUCAUAGACCGUAGCGAACCAAAAGAAAGUUGUGUACCCUUAUACCUCUGUUUAAAAGAAUACAUAAAAUGAAAAUGUAACUAAAUAAGGCUCAGCAAGAGCACUGUAUUUAUUUAUUUAUAUAUAUAUAUAUAUAUAUAUAUAUAUAUAUAUAUAUAUAUAUAUAUAUAUAUAUAUAACUCCACUGUGUUUAUACAGUCAUGGUUUUACAGUCAUGCUGUUCUGUGUUUUCGGAGGACAGGGGGAGGUGGGGGCUUUUCCAAAUGUUUUCCAUCCCCCCCCCAGUCCAUCUCUCUGCCCAGCUGUGCUGCACUGAAACACAAUCCAGGGCCUGAAUGGCCAACUCAUUCUGGCACAGAUGUGAAUGCUCAAAUAUCUGUCUGCCUGGCCUCUCUUCAAGCAUCCAGACCAAUCCUCUGUAAAAUCACUUUAAAACACACAGCUAUGCAGAUUAACAGAAAACGAAGCGAGAAAUGUCACAAGCAGCGAUGAGAAGAAUUUUGUUCCAGGGUAAGACUUCUGGUAUUUGAGAAAAGUAAAUGUUCCCACUGAAAUUUAGUAGAUAAUAUACAGUAAGUCAGUUGGUUGACAAAAUAAUCAUUCUUGUAUAGUCUGGAUCCUUUGGAGUCUAAAAGUAAUCACUGAUUAGGAUAGUUGCUGCUGACUUGUAUGGUUCAUGUGGUGAAGUGUGUGCAAGAGCCUGCAGGGCAAUGUGUCUGAAAUCUGCAAGUCUGCGGUUGUGAACAGAGGAGCUGUGGCUUUUUAAUUCAUCCCCUGGGGGCUUGUGAGUAGCCCAAUGAUUGUGUUUCCUGUAAACAACACUGAUUUCAGUAGAAGGCAGAUGAAACUAAUCUGAUCAUGGCUCUUAAGAUCUCAGCCUAUCUUCCAAACAAAGAAAAACACAAAAGAAGAGAAGGAAGGUGACAAGGAGAGGAAACUGCAUAGACCAAUUUCCCAUGAGGAGCCGUUUCCUGAGAACAGAUUAAGCUGAAUCCCAGACGAAAAAGUGCUCACAUGUUUUCAGCAGUCGGAGAUCCAACAGUUGGCUUGAUCUGUAAGCUCAGGGCUGUUCCAGGAGCAGUUUGACAAUUUCAGCACGGCCAUGUUCGCUAGCACACAUCAGCGCCGUGGAUCCCUCGUCGUCCUGCACGUUAACGUCUGCGCCACACUCUAGCAGCGCACGCACCAUCUCCUGGCGGCCGUGGCUAACAGCUAGCAUCAACGCUGUCUGGCCCGCCUGCAGAGAUUUCUGUUUUUCAGCACAACCCUACUUCAUUUGCACAGCUCCUCUGGCCCUACAGAUGAGAAAGCCUUAACAUUAUACAAAUGUGUUCUUGACGCAAUGCAAGCGACAACCAAGUGAGAGCCAAUCGGGGAGAGGUGGUCUGGCCAAUCACAAUCUGGUCUGAUUACAUUCCCAUCACAAUGUGUUCGACGUGCAUUUACAUCUUGCAUUAACAUGCGUUUUUUCUUAUCCAGACAGGAUAUCCAGCUGCCAAUUGCAUGUCAGUGCCAGGUGUAAAUGUGGUCAUAAACACAACAGGGAGAUUAAGAAAACAGUUCUGAGAGCAGUGUAGAAGAUGAUGUAUUGUUCCAAAAACCAAACUUAAAGCCAUAAAAAGGUUAAUUCUCUAGAUUUAUAAUCAUAAAUGCUUGCUUUUACUAGUUUCAUGAUACCAGAUUGUUUUAAAUUUCAAAAAUGUUAUCACUAAUUCAAAGGAAAAGUCAAACAAGUACUUUAAGCCCAUAACUUUCCAGUCCAAAAGCACAGCAGAAAAUGGUGUGACUUAAAUUCCUGUCUCUAAAAUUGCAUUGCGUGCCUCAUGUUGUUACCCCACAGCAACAAUAACAAGCGCCAGUAAUUGGAUUUAUUGCCAGUGAUGCUAUAAAUUCAGAGUCCUGUGACUUGGCAGUGUGAGAGCCUGUCAGGCGCCUGUCCAAACACAUACACUACACAAACUGAUUAGAUCAAGCAAAGAGAUAAAAACACUCAAAAGUCAACACAUUCUCACAAAUCACUUCUGACCAAUCUGACCUACCCAAUUAAAACACUUCCCAGUUGAAAUAAACAUGGAACAAUAAAAGGCAUUAUCCCCUGAACAGUUUUUUUCUUUACCUUCACUCAAACAAGCAGAUUACUUACAAUUUUUCUCAUUUGGCUGUAAUAUGUAGAAUUGAUCCUAUGUCUGGUUUUAUAUUUCCUUUUUCCACAUUAACAGUUUAAUGUGUCUAAAUUAGAUUGAAGUCAUUAAAAGAAGUCAGCUGAGCCAGGAUUGGCUCUUUUAAGUGAUAAAAUGCAUCUGGCUGAUGGAGCCGACUACACAUUCACAGAUGUUGCUGUUGCUGUUUUCCUGCUUGACAACUGCUGCUGCUACUAUUAUCAUUAUCAUCAUCAUCAUUAUUAUUACAUUAUUUAAAAAAAGUGGAUUUGUCUCGCUCUCAUAAAAAGGUGGGAAUUGUUGGGUCUCUAAAUAUUAUAAAGAGUACGGUCUAGACCUGCUCUAUAGGAAAGUGAGUGAGAUAACUUCUGUUAUGAAUUGCCGCUAUAUAAAUAAAAUUUAAUUUGCAUAUCAAAUUAAGUGAUACACUUAAGUGAAUCACUUGUGACACAGAUGUUACUGCACCUACACAUUGCUCAAUCUAAUGUUAAAACUUAAGUGAUUUCAGAACAAAACCUGUUUAUAUAUCCAGCAUGUAGCCACUAAUGUCAUGAGUUUUAAAUUCUUUUUUU